rnacentral:lncRNA from 1 species
AAGUAACAACUACAUUCCUCCCCCUGCAAACACAGGUCAAGAUAUAUUUCAACAUUGGAAAGAUAGGUGUGUGUUGAGGUCUUCGCGAGUGGUAAGUGAAGUUCUCUUUUUGGUUAUGGUAGUCUGAUUGAAGCGUUUUUUGCAAGCUUUGUAUAGCACAGGACUGUGACAAGGGUUCUUUGGAAUGAAUUCUCUUUUUAGUGCCAGCCAUCUUUAGCCAUUAGGAAUUCCCUUACAACCUUUUACUGUUUUCAAAGCGAGUUCUGCCCAUGCGCCAUAUCUGCUUCAUCUCGCAAUAAAAAGAUCGGCUUGAUUCCUUAUAUUCAUUGUGCAAAUACAUCUGGUGAGCAAGCCAGUUAGACUUUAUCUCCUUGAAUCAAAGCCUUGAAAGCAUCAAUGGGAAAGAACACGCUGUUUGAGAGUUGUUUGGCAUGUCGGUUUAUGCCUUCUCUAUUCAUUGGAGGGUUCACUUUUGGUUCCAUCUUCGAGCGAGUGAAAGCUUUUGAUAAAGUCCUGUGAGUAUGAGCGGUUUCUUUAUUUACUGAGCUCGCAUCUCGGCAUUCUUCUCUCGUUGACUUUGGCCAAGAACCUAUCUCUCUAUACAAAGAGCUACAGCACCGACACAAUCUGUUAACGCAUAUAUCAUAUAUAGAAGUCUGGCUUGGACCACGACUCGGGCAAGGGUAAAGGAAUAGCUGCUCUGCUAUGGGCAAGAAAGUCAAGAGUGAGUUUCGGAGUGUUGUACCCUAUAGACAGAGGCUGAGUGGUUUGUUCGGUAAGCACAAUAAAUCCGGAAUAUUGGAUAGUGCACCACCUAUGAGAGGUUCAGUCUCGACUUGACUUUCACUUUCCAACAGGAUCUUUGACUCUAACAGCUGCCGAGUAAGAUUAGCUGACUAGCGAACAGGAACAAAACUCUACAACUUUGAGCGGGCAACUUACUUGUUCACCGACACAAUUACCGAACCGCUUAGACAAUAAAAGCACUUCCAUCGUAGACAACGAAAUCACCUCUAUCUACCGACGUUAAGUCAAUAACAGAACAAUACUUUCUGCUUGCAGUUGACUUUGCUUUGGCACAGCUGAUUCAUUCUCUGGUCGACCACACCUCGAAUCAAAGCCUUUACCUAUACCAGUGAAAAAGCAGCUCGAAAGCAAGUAUCAAGUUUCGUUUAAGUUGGAAGAGCAGGAUCCGGCUUUGAAGUUCGGUCUAGCUCCUCGUAAAGAAUACGAGUCACUGUUUCUGUUCGAGUAUAGAGAACAAACAAUCUGAUCUGAAUGACGAAAUUCCUUUCUUGCAAUUGACAAGGUGCUGAAAGCCUUUCUUGCAAUUGAGUCCAGUCCGGGCACAGGCCAAAACACACUCCCGUAAGCGCGCCCCAAGCAAGAGAGUUAGGAGGUAGGUAGAAAGUGUUGUAUCCUGUUUAAAGUACUGCUCUUAAAGCAAAGGGACUACCCAGAUACAAAGAUUCCAUUCAUUCUUUAGCUUAUAGUUGAGUUAGCCAUUGCGCAAGGGAACCUAAAAGCUCCGUUCGAAAGGACAGGUAAACUACAAGUAGCAGAAGCCUCAGCAGGACAAUCAGUUUCCUCUUAUACAGAAGCCUCAUCUCCUGAAGCAGAAGAAAGAUCGGAAGAAUUAGAUCUUUCCUAAGAAGAAGAUGCUUUAGCAGGAUAUUGACUAUUUUAUAUGCCAAGUGAAAUCAAGUAAGAAUCAUCCAAUCCUGUUGAAAGUCCGACAAGCUACGAGUCUUCGCCAUUCGUAUGAAAGUGGAGAGUAAGGAGCAAGUAAAGUAUUAGCACUCUCGCAAACCUAGCACUAGAAACUAGAAAGUCAGAAUUGCACUCAAAGCAAAGAGACAACUACUCUACUACUAGGGACACAGGGCACUCUCAGAACUCCUAUAAGCUAUAAGCAGCCUGGGCAAUCAGAGGGUCACUUCGCUCUCCACUCAAUGAAAACUGGACCUGGGCUCUAAUCUACCUCUGUAAACUACUACAGUUAUUGCUCUGGACUACUAUACUAUUGCUAGAGAAAGAAGUGUUCUUCAGCCAACACCGAGCUCACCCCCGGCUCAUCUAACUCAAUUGGUUUGAUACCUUAAUUAGGCUAGGCUCAUCUCACUUCCUUCUGUUCUUGCUUCAUAAGGCUCUUGCUACUGCCAAUCUCUCUCCUCUGUGUUGCAUUCAAAGACUCCUUAGGUCACUUCUUUCACUGCCUUGGUUCAGUCUGGUUGUUGGGUUGGGUGUUUAGGUCUUACUGGCAGUGGUUUCAUUCUCGCUACCCUGGCUUUAUUCUGAGUAGCAUGGGUUUGGUUCCGAUACUACUUAGUUGGAUUCUAUGUAUCAGAUUUCUGGUCAUAGGGAAUAGGAUUGGGAAUAUCAGUUUCAUUCUUUGAUUCACUGGUUCAACUCUACCCCUUACUAGCUCCCGAACACAGUUUAAGCUUCCUCCGCGACAGCGAGCGCAUAACUCGGAAUGCGAUUACUAACUAGGAGAUUCAAUUACAAACUACCGGAUCUAACUACUACUACUAUAAGAAUUGCGCUACUGCUUCUCAGAUCGGAACUCAGGUCAAAAUCACUGCUAGCAAUACUGUAACUACUACUUCGAAUACAACAACCAGUGCUAGCAGGAGUUGAACCACGACUAAGCAGAAGCAACCUAGGAAUAAAGAAAAGAAGAACUAACCCCCUAACAACAACCCACAUAAAAGAGAAACGCUAUCUAUAUUACUUCAACUGGUCACUCAGAUCCGUAUCCUUACUCGCUUGAAGCUGAACCUACCGCAGAGCAGAGCGCCUUACUGCCGGGGAAGGCGCGCAAUGAAAAAGGAUUCUUACUUAUAUCUCGCAUUAGUCGAUUCAGUAUUGAGUUUUCCUAUAUUAGAAACAAUUACCACUAACAAUAAGAGUGGAGCAAGCAACUGGGGAUGAAAACGAAUAAUAAGGGAUUGGACUACCGACUUCACCCGAAACCGCUGAUAGUAAGAAAUGCACUGGAAUACACUGUAUCAAACAACUACCAAGAAUACAUUAUUCAGUAGCUUUGCAUCCGACCGCCUUACUGUCUCCGAGCCUUACUCACAUCGUUCUUCCCUCACAACUACGACUUGACUACUGCCUUCUAUUACUUUUACUUGAAACCCGUAAUUGUGAACUGGUGCUAAUGAGAAUCCUACAACUACUGAUAAUAAUGAAAACAGAGCUAGAGAACUUAACGGGCUUACCCUACUGUCUAUUAGCCCUUACUUUACCGGCUAUUGGUCUUUACUUGCUUAUUCCAUCUUCCAGGCAGAGAUCGAACUACAGCUUAGGGGACUUCACCCACAAAUAAAGCCUGCCCUUACUACACUCCUAUUAUGACUUUCCUGGCUAUCCGCCUAUAACCUUAACACCUAAUACUCCUGACUUAAAGUGCUUAUUUAGCCCUUUCACUCUUAUUAAUUAGGGUAGGGACCUUUUCUUUCAGCCUAUAGCUCUUUGCUUUGCUUUGCUUCGAUUCUAAGACCACUGAUCCGGUCAAUGUCAACGAUACUUGUAACUAGAAACUAGUAACCGAGCUACUACUAUUAGAGAAUUGACUAGUGCCCAACAGGGCUAAGCCCAGCCCACCAAUACAAAGAAUCAAAAAGGAAAUAGGACUUUCGUUUCGCUACUGAACUAAAAGCUACCUUUCCUGUCUCCUAACCUGCUCUACUUGCGAAAAAUCCUAUAUUAAGGCCAACAAGCCCUUAGCUCAUUAAGUAAAAGAACUCUAUAUAUGGCAAAAAGGCAGCCUCAUUGGCACUAGUGAAAGUAUGAGUUCGAUCCUAAGGUAUUAGAAGUAGUAGGCGCAUCUCUUGUUUUGAGUUAGAGUCUAAUCAGCAGUGCCCUUUUCCCUACUCCUAUCUCUUAAUGCGCUAGAUCGUAUCCUGAGUUUGACUUAUCAGCAGUAUUCUGAAAGUACCUAUUCGAUUCUCUUGUUAUCAGUAGCGUUCCCUGGAGCACUAGCUCUCUUUAUUCAUGCCUUAUUCUUUCUAUUAGUGGGUGUUUCCUCUAUGGGUAGGUUUCUUCUUAGUAGUUUAGAGGUUAAAGGAUCCGGACCAGGAGUUACAGAAUUCCAGUCAAUAGCGUUAGGUUGAAAGACAAGAGAGGCAAGGCCGCUACACUCUUUGGCGCGGUAGUGUAGCUCUACUCGGCAUACGGAGCAAGCCUUACACCACGCCUCCAAGGACAAAAGCCUUAUUAUGCAUUAUGCGCCCCUCACCAAUAGUCCAAAACCCUUUCUCUUAGCCUAAGUCUAUGCCCCCUACUUUUAUACCCGGCUCUCCGCUUUUUGCUUUCAAACUUGAUCUCUGCUUUCAUAAGCAAUGAGGGUUGAGCAAGUUAUGUAUUCUCCUACUUGAAUUACUAUACGAAAACACAUGCUUAGUAUUAUAUAUCAUAUGAGAGAAAUAAAACACAUUCUACUAUAACUAUUAAGAGAAUAGAUAGUCCAGAUCCGCAGUUACAGAAAGAAAGAAGCCACACGUAAGACAUAUUAACUAACUAACAAACCAGGCUAAAAGCAAGGAAAGUAGGCCUCCCCCAAGAGAGCAGACUUGAGUCAGUAGCAAAAGGUUUGUUGUCACCAGCUCCAUUAUGCUUAUUGGUAGUUGGAAAAUGAUAUAACAGAAAGGUAGGCUUAAAAGCACCCGUUAAGGAAUAGGCUUUCAGCACCUGUUUUUGGCUCCUGUUAUGAGCAAGUCGUCCUGUGCUCAAGUAAAGAGCUAAUAGAAUAUGGUUUAAUGAGUUAUAAUACAUUUAUUCAUUGCUAUGGUUUUGUAGUAGUUACUUGGCCGGUAUUUUUCAUAGCAAUAUGUACUAGUCCUUCUUAUUCUUCUGGCUAUGGCUCAUCUACCUAUAGUAACGUAACGAUGAGACUUACCCCGCUAACUAGGUAUUCAACCACUGCUAACGGGGCCGCUCCCGGGCAUGUCUUUUGUGUCUUUUAUUCUUGUAUUUCACCUUUCAUUCUUUCCUUCCUUCUUCUCAUUCUUACUAUCAUGUAUAUCUGGCUUACUUUUCUUGCUUUUAGUCUCUAUCUAGUACCUUUCAUUCCUUUAUUUCCCCGCCUAAGAGCCUUACUUAUUAGGUUGAGUACUUAACUCGCCCCUUCCACUCCAUACUGAAAUUAUUGGGCUACUGAGCCGGAUCCUGUCUUACUGGGCCACCCACCCUACCUUUAUGCCCUCCGGCUUUGACUCUACAACUAAUGCUUCUCAGACUUGAUAUCUCCUAUAGAAACCUUACACUACUUACUUGAACUCUGAAUUUCCUAUAUUUUCUUCUUAUCACUACUAUACUAAUAGAUUAGGCUGAUAGUUAGUCAUCUAAGACAAAACCCGAAGAAAGGAAUACUUAAACGAACAAGCGAGAAUGAUACAAAUACUGAAGUAAGGGUUCGGUUAGUCGACAGAGCAGUAGAGGCCUAAAGCCCAGAGGAGACCAGCUUGAAGCCUAGUAGUGAAAGCCUCAGUACGGGUGUUUUCAUUCCCAUCAGUCACCAGUCCCAUUAGAAACAUUCCCAUUGUUCUAUCUUAUUCUCCAACUGUCCCGCCUUAAAGUCCCGCAGUUACUUAUCUAACUAAUGGAAAUCACAACUACAAGAAUAACAGGUGUACUAUAGGGCCUAAUAGAAUUUCACUGGCAAUAACAAGACUCUAGCGACUGCUAAUAAUAAUUGAACUCAGUGGUGGCAUAAUCCAGCAGUAGACUCUCUCAACAGGUGCACAACGACAUAGUUAAGGAUACCUUAAGUCAUAAUAUCCCCUAAGGCUCUAACCACAGCAUACAAGAAUUCCAGUUUUGGGUGGGGAACAGGACUUCGCGGGGCUCCGGUUUUAUAUACCGUCCAGGCAGGCUGGCUAACAAGUCAAAUACAGAAUCGAAGUUAGGCGUUUCAACCCAAUAGUUAAGAGUGAAGGAUUCGACACCAGUUUAGGAUCUAGUUUAAGGUCAAGUAAUACAGGAUGUCAGGAAGGAGCCACAGACAGACCAAUAACCAAGAAAGGUAGACUUACUUACAGUAUAGUCAGAAUGGGGGGCAGGCCCGGAGCUAUUAGUGACAGAAUUAGAAGACGGGUAGUGAAGAUCCGACUCGGUCUCAACCGCUACGUGGACUUUAUCUUCGGCUUAUGUAUCAAACUUGACUCGCCCAGCUUCUUCUCUCGGAUAAAAAAGAGGAACCAAUUCAGAUGUUGCCCUCACCUUAUCCACCUUAUAAAGGGUACGUACGCAUAUAGCCAUUUAGGAGAUAUCAAAUUCCAUUCGUAGUUUGGAGCGCAUGUCUCUAUAUUUGUUAUAUUGAUAGUUUCUAUGCUAGAGUAACCCAUCCGUCCUGUCUUCAAUUCAUAAAUUCGAACUUACAAACUGCACUUCCAACCUAGGAAUCAUUCCCAUACCACUUAGAUUCAUAUGGGCUCCAGGCUACGCAACACAGGUCCAGUCCAGUCUUCUCCCCAAGGUGAGCAAAAGCAGUUUAGGCCUUCCGAACGCUUACUUAUUGGUCUUUACUACCUCGGUCUCUAUGCCAAGGUGUUUUGCCCGUUGCUUUCUGGGGGUAUUAUAGUUUGGGCUCUGACCGAAAGCAUUUUGGAUGAUUCCUUACUACUGUUUGGCGGAGGAACUUAUGGACACCCUUGGGGAAAUGCACUUGGUGCAGUUGCUUAUAUGGUCGCUUUAGAAGCAAGCGUGUGUACAAGCUCGUAAUAAGGGACGUGAUCUUGCUCAUCAAAUAUCAUUCUGAAUAGGGAAGAAGCUAUCAAAUAAAUGGAGCCCUGAACUAGCCACUGCUUGUGGAGUAUGGAAAGAGAGAAAAUGAGAAUUCGAACCCGUAGAGUUGAUUAGCAAGAUAAAGAUCCAAAGUCAGUGUGCAUAAUUCCUCCAUUCCUAUUUGUUCUCCUAAUGGAUUGCAAUUAAAGGCCUCAAAAAGCAGAUUCAGCCGAUUACCUCCGAUUACCUAAUAAUAUAAUAAGAAGUAGCAUCCCAUAUUCUCAUAAGUAAGGUCAGAGCUCUAUUCUAUGUACUGAUCUGCCCUAUCAAAACUAUAUCUAAAUACAAGAUAAGAUCGAAGACUAAACAACUCAAUACCGAGUUUGUUGUUGGAUCAAAGACUAAACAACUCAAUACCGAGUUUGUUGUUGGAUCCAAUCCUAUGAUGCUUGUGGAUUAUUGGACUUUUCCUCGAUCUCAUUCUCACACUACCUUCCCCUGUAGUCGAUCUCUACUAGGACUUUCCGAGCGAAAGGAGUCAGAUUAGUUGACUUUCAUGCGUUAGUUGUUGACUUUUUCUAUGUUAGUGAAAUGAAAAACGGAAUCAUUGAGUUGACUCUGUGCUAACGGGUCUUAAAGCAACAGAGAAAGUCAAAGGAGAAAGUCAAAGAAAGAAUAAGCCUAAGAGGGGCAAUGAGGGGCAAUGCAGAGUGAAAGCCCAGGAAAGGCAUAGUGAAAGGCAUUACUUUGCGAAUUCACCGAAGUUAGUGUUAGUGAAAUGAAAUGAUCUAGAGCCUUAGGGGAUAGGUAGAGCAGAAGAGUCAGUAUAGAAUCCUAAGAUAGAGCAUUCGAUCUAGCAGUCGAUUCAAAGACGAGAAAGAGGCCCGCUCCCUUAACCUUAACCUUGAUAAUUGCCUGACUUAGUGCCUAGCCCUUGAAAGUACAGUACUCUCUUAGCACCCUCGCUUGAAACUCCAAGUAUGACUAGUCGCAUACUGUGCUAUAUCUAACCACACUAUUCUUAUUAUUAUGUAAUAUUAUCUAACCACCCUAUAUUCUGAUUAUUAUGUAAUACAACGAACUCGACCUUGACAUUGUAUGAAACUAUAGCACCGACCGACACAAGAUGACAGGAUUACACCAUUACUGGAAUUCUGAUUUGUCAUUGAAAACCUUUGUUUGCUGGGGUGCGCUCCUAAUUAUGAGUUUACUUAUUGAUUCUCUUUGGUUACCUAUCUGCUCUCCUUGGUUACAUAACUAUAUCUAUAUUUGUGUCAGUCAACUUCUACUUCAUAAAAUAAACGGAGAAACUCUCCUUUCUUAAUCACCCAAUCAUAAGAAUUCCGCUCAUUCUCCGGGAAGCUACCCGGGUUUACAUCAAUCGAUAAAGGUACCCACUCACCUUUUCUCUUUUCUUGCCAACAAACCGGCGUGCUUUUCAUAAGAAAUCCCUGUUCGUUGUUGUUCGACUUGCCGUGGUAGGUUUGUUUGUGUCUCGGGUGCGCCAUCCCAUUACUAUAGUAACAUAUCCAUAUCAUACCAUAUUGUAUUAUAUCAUAUCAUACCAUACUCGGGAGCGAUGUCAGCAUCAUUGUAGCAGGUGAACAAGAAAAAGCAUUCUUCUUAUUAAUAGGAAACAUCUCUCUUUCUUCUCGACCUUGCCUCACACCUAGCUAUACGAGCGGAACUUCCCCUUGACUUGCUAUACUACACAUCUAUUAUUAUUAACCUCUUCGCUCGCCAACAACACAACACCUAUUUCUUGGAUUGAAACCAUAGUAUGGUGCACCGCAACACAACAUAUAGUAUGUUAUGGCACUAUGUUAUGAUAUGUUAUGAUAUUAUGGUAUAUAGUAUGAUAUGGUACAUUACGGUACACCAUACACAUACUCCAGGACGAAACAAACAUACCCAACAGAGAGCUCCCAUGGGACCAAUUCUUCUUAUAGCUUACCAUCUGAACAAUCACUCUCAGAGCAGCCAUCGGAUCAUUCUGUGAGCAAAACAAUGUGCCCAAUCAUUCUAAUCUCAGAGCUACCAUCGGACCCAUCAUUCUGUGCUAUGGCCCAAGCACUCUGUCUUCGCAAUGGUCCAGCAACUCUGUCUUCUAGGGCGAAAGGUCGUCGCAUGGCACACCCCUAUUGAUUUGGAUUGAAAACCCGGCGUAUGAUACAAAACACACCCCUUUUUAUUGAUACAUUGAUUGAAACCAUAGUAUGACACAACACACCUGGAGCGGACCAGAAAUAAGUCUGCGUGUGAACAGCCAUUCAUUCAGUCAUUCUACAAUGCACUUAACGACAACUACGGGAAUGAAACACUACCGUUGCAGCACACUACCUUAUUGAUUUUCAUAAGAAAAUGUAAGGAAACAAAGCAUUAUUCACCAGCGUAUCCAUCUUACUCACAGCCGGGCAAGCACCGAGCCUUAUUAUGUUUCUUUCUAUUUCAUAAUUGUUAGUGAUUCCAGCUUAGGGGAGUAGUUAUGACUUAAUAUUCUCAUAAUCAAAGAUGGGCAACGCAGGCUUAAAUACAAGGGGGGAAGGCUUAAACUCAGCAGCGACAGACUGAAUCCAGGGAGUUACAGACUCAGAUCAGUGCUUCCAAGCCUGCUACUGGUGCUAUUGGUACUCGGAAUGGAGCUGGUGCAGGGCAGAAUGGAGCUAAGGAAUCUUUCGCUCGCUACCGUUUAGCUCAGGCUCCCGAAAGCAUCUACGAAGACAGUUUAAAGCUCCUCCGCGACACAUUAGCAGUGUCUUGGCGGCUAUAGCUCCUGCCGUCGGAAGCAUAGACGAAGACAGGACUUGUUUAUAAUUGCUGCCGUACAACGUCUUUCGCCGUUGCUUGGCCGUUAUACCUAUUACCUGCUGCCGCGCAACAUUAGUAGUUGCUUGGCCCGUUGCUUGGCCGUUAUAUCUAUUACUAUUGCUACCGCCGAGAGCAUCUACGAGGACAGGACUUGUUUAUAACUUGUUAUAAUUACUUAUUGUUGUUGCUGCCGCGCAGCUUUCAACUCGCUGCCGCGACACGCGAACACAGGAAUUGUUAUAACUGCGUUAUAACAUACUAUUGUUGCUGCCGCACAACGUCUUACUUAGUUGCUUGCCUAUCCGUGUCUUGGCGCGCCGUUGCUUGGCCGUUAUAACUGGUUAUUCCGGCCGGGCUGCCGCGUCACCGAACGCAUAGAAAGUAAGAGAACAAACAUAACCCCGAACACAGGAGCGGCCCUGCCGCGACACCGAACACAGGACUUAUUCUUAACUGGCUAUAACUACUUAUUUGUCCUACUGCCGCACAACGGCGUAGCCGUUGCUUGCCUAUCCGUGUCUUGGCUGAGUUUAUUAUUCUAGAUGAGUUUGAGGCCUUGGCGCGCCGUUGCUUGGUCGGCACAUUAGUCGUGCCUUGGUCAUUAGUAGUUGCUUGGUGGCUUAAACGAGAGAGCUACAGGCUAUCCGACCCGGGUCAAGGAAUAGAGCUAGUGAAUGACAGCCUUAGCUAUACGAAUUGGAAUCAGGAAUAGGAUCGGAGGCAGAAGAGACCUUACGUACUUUCUUCUUUUCUUACCUGAACCCAACCAGCUACAUUGAGAGUCUACAGUUUCAAGAGCCAAAGCGGAGUUCUACGCUCCCUUAUGCUUAGUCAGUUCCCUUAUUCUUAUAAGUCAUAUAACUCACUAGUUGACUUCUUUCUGGCCAACCGAGUUGUGUUCCUUCUUGACCAACCCUAGUUCUCUUUCUCGCCAAUCCACCUAGAAAGUGAGAAUUGCCCUCCUUCUCGCAAACCAACCUAGAAAGUGAGAAUUGCCCUCCUUCUCGCAAACCAACCUAAGUGCUCUAUUCUUAAAUUCAGUAGAGAUUUAUAUCUAAGAUAAAGAAAAGAGAAUGUACUCGUUGUCCGGUAAUCGUGUACAGAGGAAUUAUUGUUCCCCGCCUAGGUAUGAGAGAUCCAGGUAACUCACCCACCCAGUGCUUCUUAUCUCGAAAGUCUUAAUGGAACUCAAAGGUCAGAAUCAGAGGAAUUAGCCAGGUAUUAUGGAAGUAUAAGAAGGUCACUAACCAUAAGAAGGUCACUAACCAUACUGGUAAUGGUGUAUCUGGCUCUACUCUUUGCUCUGCCAGAACGGAAAUCGCUUGUCUAGUAUACGCUUGGCAAAACGAUAAGUACUAUAAAGUAGAGAAAAAGCUACAAGGGAAUAAGUAAACAAGUAGUAAGCAAGCCAUUGUGUAUUAGUGAAUUAGCCGUUGCGCAAGGGAACCAAUUCAGAUUAGGGGCUCGUCUACGAACAGCCUUUAGUAGUCUGAGAUGAGUGUUUCCCUAGCAUAUGAGUUUACCCAGGGCAGGGUUAAACGACGAGAAAGAUGAAGUUCAAGCCCGCCGCCUUAUUCAGCCAAAACCUUUAUUAUGACCUUCCUCAGCGCACUUCCAUAGAGUCUCUUUGGAUGGGGCAAGUGUUGUAGUUCAAUUCAAAAAGGGAUGCUGUGCGCAGAAAGUCUCUCGGAACAGGGGCAAGAGUCGGGUCAGCACAGCUGCAGACAAGCUACUAGUCCCCUUAAGUAAUUGGUUGCGCGUAAGUCUCAAUUAGUUCGAGUUUGUUGAGUGCGAGGCAGAAUAUACUAAGUAAUAAGUUUGAGAGCUCAGAGUCUGGAGACGAGAAAGAUGCCUUAUAGCCUUUACUUGGAUUAUUGCCUUACUUGUAUAAUGUCCUUAUGAUGCGAGGUAUACUUCUGUAUAGUCUCUUUCUACUCUUGUUUCAUCCUAUUUCGAAUUAUAAGCUGUUCGAGCAUUAGGAUCUGAAACAAACAUAAGAUGUCAAAUAAGCAGGAUAAGAAGCUUUUCAAAAGUCUGCUGCAAUAUUGAAGGUUGGAAAUUCGAAAGGUGAUCUCGCUAACAGAGCUUCUACGCUAAGGGAGGGAGUGACGAUUAGUGCUUCAGAAGCCCUAGUAUGAGUCUCCUGUUCCUUUGAUACAGAUUCGAUUCGGCUUUCCCACCUGAACCAUCUUUUGAGUCCUUUCCUGUAGACAACACCUCAGCAUUAGAUUCUCGGUAUACCUAUAUUCUGGCUAAUUCUUAUGUUUCCUCUUAUCCAGUACUUGAUGAUUCCCUUUUCUCUGCUUUUCUUCUCUGACCUUCACUGCUAAACCAGUACUGAAUUCUCUUCUUUAAGGUUACCAUUACUUCCAGCCUCAGAUCAGUAUUCUGCUUCAAAGCCUGCCUUAUUACCUUAACCGGGCCAGGCCAGUACUUUUCUUCUUACUCAAAUUCAUUAGUUACUUGACACUUUUACCAACAGCUAAAGUCCAAAGAGAAACCGGAGAUUGGGCUCCAGAAUAAAGGCUCACACAGGACUUGCUCAUGGCAACAUACUAACUAACUAGUAGUGGCUUUUCUAGUAGUUACUCGGCGGUUAGUAGUCACUUGUCGGAUACAACACUUGAGAUACAGCUUCUCUUACAACACCAGUAGUGCAGGCCAGGACGAUCUACUUUACAGCUUUAGCCACUAGACUUUCUCCCCUAGCUUGCGGAUUGUGAUCUACUCCUUUAGAUAGCUUAUACUUUCAAUUCCUUAGCGUAACUCCAUAAGCGCCCUUACUUUGGAUCUACCUUCAAAUUCCCUUACUUGUUCACUCCUGACUAUAUGGUGCACCUAUUCUAUAAUUGAGUCACAAUACAUCUUAUAACUAUUGGUAAUAUCGGCACAGUUCUAUACUUACAAUAGUCAGCCCUCAUUGAACCUACAACUCGAGAAAAGGCUUUUUUCGACAAGCAAGGGCGUUAGUUGAGUCAGGAUAACAAGCUAAAAGGGCGAAAAAAUCGAAUAAUGUACUUUAGUCAGUGUAGGGGUGAACUCAAUUCAUUUGUUCUUCAAGUUCGGAGUGCGCCUAUGACUUUCAAGUAAGGAGAGCCAUAUAAGAGAAAUGAUCUACUAUGCAAAAGAGAAAUUAUUUGAGAACUUGUAUUAGUGGUGCUUGAAACAAACUAGGGCAAUAAAAGAAGUACUCUCGUAUAGCGUGAAGCUGACUAGCGGAGUUCCUCAAGUCGUGGCCUCAUCAAUUCUUAAAGAAAGGGCACAAGGGAGUUCCAAUUUCCAUCUUCCAAUCUUUGACUUUCUGUUAAAAGGGGACUUCGACUCAAAUCCAUGUUUGUUGGCGACUCUAGUAAUUGCUUUUCCGUAUAGUAGUUACUUGUUGAGUGGAAUCCGUCUUUGUUGUCUACUUGUUUUUUUCUGAAAGUUGAGAGUCCGGAGCAGGGUAUUUCCAUUCCUCUAUUACUGGUGUAAGAUCUAUAUUCUUCAAUUCCAUUCAAAGAGCUUAUGCUUUAGAUUCCAUUCAAAGAGGAGAAGUCCGGGUUAGUUGGAGAACCGUAGUGCUAAGGUAGUUUACAGCUAAUUUCUCUCUCGUCCACUUUCCAGUUCAAUUCCAUUCUUCACUGAAAUAAGAGUUCGGGUCGAUAACACACCUCCUAUCCAUCUAUAAAGAUGCUAAAGUGGGCUGGGCUAGAUAUGGAACUAAUUGUCCUGAGAAGAAACGCUACAAAAUUCUAUAUUAUCUUAUUAUAGGAUGAUAUUUACAAUAGUCCGAGGCAGUAGCUUGGCAGAUCGGAAGAAACAGAAAAGAAAUUGUAUUGGAGAUCAUCAACAGUCGAAGUCAAGUCUCUUGUUGUUGGCGAAAGAGUCGAAGUCAAGUCUCUUGUUGUUGGCGCAAGUCCUUUGUUUGGGAGUAGUUAGUUGCCCUUAUAUUAAGUAGCAAUAGAGGGAUGAGCCUUAAGUAAAAUGGGUAAGUUAUGAAAGUGUAGUUCAAUAGCAGUUACGUAUCAGUGCAAGCCAGAGUCGAGUCAGAUAAGUAGUACGCCCAGAGUCAGAUAGUUAAGAAGUCAGAAUUAGACUCAGCAGCACAAGAAACAAGCUAUAGUAAGUAAAACAAAGAGACAAGCUUUCGAACAGAGCUAUAAGACAAAGAAGUAGUGGUAUGGAUCUAUCGCAUCCAGUAGCGGACUGAUGGGAGUGUAUAAAUAGAAGAAUGCUUCUUUAGUGUGUGAGGGCAUAAUGCACCUUCAAAGCAGGGUGAGCAAGGGAAGGGCGUAACCGAACUCAUAAGUAGCAGACCGCAACGCAGGGCCUAAACACAGAAGUGAGCCUACCAACUCGUCACUCUAACUCUUCAACAAUGCCCUCUUGACUUGCAUUCUAUUCUAUAGUACCAGUGGAAACCUACCCUACCAUAUUUUGGAUUAAUAGCAUAUGGAGCGGCUCUUGCUUGUAUCAAUAUUCGAAAAAACCUACAGCUAUUAUGGACUGGAACCACUACUCUAAAAGGCUCUCACUACUCUACUUGAAAGAAUGGAACUUGGAAUAAAGAGAAUCGUCCCUGGGCAGCGAACAACGAUGGUCCACAGGCCGGGCAACUGUCCCUGGGCAGCGAACAACGAUGGUCCACAGGCCGGGCAACUGUCCUAGGUAUGGUCAGCUGACUUAAGAAGAAUUCUUUUGACUUACAAUAAUGAUUCCUGGGGGCUAAUAAUAAGAAUGCUUUUCUCUUGUCUAACCGAGUAUGGAUGGUAUGGUACUAUGGUAUGGUCAUUCAUGUCAUUGUUCGUUGGUGCAUCGCAAAGUGAAGUAAUAAGUAAGUUAAUAUAUAAUAAUAGAGUCCAAAGCUCAGUAAUAGAAGAAGCUCAGUAAUUGUAAUAUCAUAAUAGUCAUUAAUAUACCAUAAUAGAUUCCGAAGCUCAGUAAGAGAAUCACCGGCUUCCACAUGAGUCAUGGAAGAAUCGUCAUUGGUUCCAAAAGUCUGUUUCAGCUCGAUUCGCAUCUUGAUUUGCUACUCUCAUUUCUUUUGCCAGACACUUUUCAUUCCUUAAGCAAACACCACAUAGUCUUUUCUUAGCCCCAUUCAUUCUGUGUGAGCGGAAAGAUAUGCUCCCGUGGGUCAUUGGACAUCGGCACAAAGGUACUAAUUCAGAAAGUCAAAGCACUCGUUCUUGUAGUGGAACCGCUCAUUCACCCAUGAAACGAAAGUGUAGGUCCCGUUCCGUCCCUGGCAACGUAGGUACCCAGUUCAUUGUUCGUUCGUUCGGUUCCCGGGCUAACUCUUUCUUUGAGCAGCAUCGCCCAGUAAUAGAUGGAAGGCGCGGGCGGGGAUGUGACUGUGACUGAACGAGCCACUAAGAGAAGAAUCAACAAACAAGGGGCCAAGCAUAUACUAAAUAGGGUUCACUCACUACUCAAGCAUAUACUAAAUAGGGUUCACUCACUACUUAAGUAAUAGAAUGAAUAGGACAGGUAUAAGAAUUAGGCUCAGGGCCAUAAUACAUAAUUGAUAGUUUUCAGGGUCAAACUCUACCAUCAAGGGAAGCAGUUCUCAAGUGUGAAAAUACUCUGACUUCUACUAUAGGUCGACAGCAGCUCCGGUAACAAUUAAUAUAUAAGAAAUAUACCUUUGACUCAGCCAAGCAACUACGUUAGUAUAGCGUUAGUCUUAUUUGUGUCAUUACAAUUCCUGUUUUUGGGAGCCCCGGAUCGGUUGAUUGUUCCUUAAAGAAGAUAAUCAGGGUUGACUGUUCCUUAAAGUAGUCGUGUUUCCUUAAAGUAGUGGUCCAAGUCGUCUUUAUUCGACACCUCGCAUCAAACCAAGAAUAUCAUCCGUACCACGGAAACUAUAUUAUCUUAUAAGAAUCUCAUUGGCACUGUCAAAAGGCGUAUACUUAGAAUAAGGGAUCAGAAGCGGAAAAAGUAUCCAAUCCAGUAGCAGUGUUGUCACCCAUGCGAGUAUGUCAACGAUACCAGAAUAAGGCUCCUAGGCAGCAGUGGUCUCAUAGAAUCAGUAACUACCCAACCAUGGGCUCUUUCUUCUUUAUUAUCAGAUUCAACUCGGGGCCAAGUAACUGGGUUAGUCAAAUUGCCCUUGACUCAGUACGCACACGGUGGAAGAAACCCUAAACUUCCCAUUCCCACUCCGAUAUCCUACAAGGGUAUUAAUUCUCCGAUGUCAACAAAUACUGACACAUAGCAUCUUUUCUCUCUUAACUAGGGAUUACACUCUAACUCGCCAGGGGAACAGGUAAUUCUCCACUCCCCUAACCUAACAAGUAAGGAAACAAGUCUAUCCCUUAACUACCCUAAAAGUAAGUACUCUCUUUUGACUACCCUAUCCACCAAGCUACAGGAUAGGGAAAGUGCAAAGUGAACCCUAAACUCCAGGCAUCGCAGCUGACGCUGCCCUCGCAUUAAACUAUUGGCUAUCAAGCAAGUCGACAGCUAGGUGCAUUCUGUUACUACUGAGUUGCAUUCUGACUUGAAACUCUCCCUCUCUGGCUCUGCUCUAACAGCUUCCCGAAUCGACCUCUAUACCUCUUGGCAAAUCCUUAACUUGACUAUCUGAUUGCCCUCACUCUACUUGAAACAGUUGAUUCUCUAUGCCUUCGGGUGCAAUGAUAGGUGUUCUCACUCGAGUCCUUGGAAUCUACUUCUCAUAUAAGAGAGAAUGCAAGUGGGAAUUGUUCCAGUUCUCAAGGAAGCACUAAUGGAGUUCAAAAGCAAGUCCUGUGUUCACCAAUCUAGUGAGUAAUCCUGUGAGCAGUGAGAAAUACAGUUCAAGAAAACCCGUACCUUUUGACUUAUCUUACUUAUUUCCUUCGAGUUACUUAUUUCCUUUGAGUUACUUCGAGCGAGAAGAGAGUAUUUGUUCCAGCAACCAAGUGUUUUCAAGUGCUUUCAAGAGAAGAGAGUAUUUGUUCCAGCAACGCUAACUCUUUGAGCAGCAUCGCUACGAAUAUAGAUUUGACGCUACGAAUAGGGAUUUGACUUAACGAACACUAAGAUAAGAAUCAACAUUGGACAUUGCACCGGCACAAACAUCCUAAUAUACAUCAAAAGUAGAGCACUUACUAAAUCGAAAAACCAUAGACCUUUUUCUACCACUUUUCCUUCAUCAAAUACUAUCAAAUAUCAUAUAAAAUAACUAUAAAUACUAUUGAAAUACAAUUAAUAUUCUAUAAGAUAUAUAAUAGAGUGUUUAAACGCAUUAAUAGAAGUGAAUUAAAUAAGGCAUUGUCGAAAGAGAAUACGGAAUGCAAGAUACCUGUAGGAGAAUAACAAUCGAGCUAAGGAAUGAAAAGCUAGGGCAAUUAUCAAACUAACACUCUCACAGGACUACUAACUACUGGGAGCCAUCUAAAGCAUAGGCCUUACCUUAAUCCACGGAAUACCAUCUGAAAGAGUGAACUGAACUUACUGCUUGGCCUUACUGUCAGUGUAUAAUUAAAGCUCUCCUCUCUUGCCCCACAUUUGAUUCAUGGAGUACUUGGUUUCUGGGCGCUAGUUUGAUUACUCCACUUUUGACUUAGAUAACAAUCGUAUAUAGCGUUAUACCUGCACUAAACAAGUGGGCUAUUAGCCAUUCUGCCUUCAAACAACCUUUAGAGACAAAGGGAAUAGGCCUAGCUAGUGUGGAUCGAAAACACUUAGUCUGCAUGUCUAUAGAUUAGCAAAGGACCUAUCUUAUCAUAUCAACUUACAAAGAAUAAGAAAAGGCGCAAGGGAGCUCACCAAGGUGCUAAUGUUAGUUUCAGAAGCCAACAACCAUUGUGCGUUAGCGAGCGGGCGCGUUAGCUUACGACUAUAGCUAGGGGAAGCCUUGCUUCAAAGUAGAGUUUCUUGGGGAUGCUAUUAGGUCACAGAUUCAUAGGUAAGGGAUGCAGUUAGGUUACCCUCAUUUUAUACCUACCCCAUGUGCUCGAUAAGAGAGAUAUUCCAUUCAACAAGUUUCUAGUUCAAGUUCCGCUCGAAAGUAAUCUGCAAGUGGUUCCUCAAGUGGAGAAGAACAAUCAAUUACUGGAUCUUAAGCGAGAAGGUCAGUUUCAAGUCGUUAUAAAUCCUACUCUGGAGCAAUGAUGUUUCUGUUGGAGUAAAGUCGUAGAUAUUAGAUGAAGAAGAGGCAUAAUCCGCAGGUCCAGGUUAAUAAAUUGAUGUUAGAGUUUCUCGUAAGGGAACAGAGUGGAUGGGUGCAGGUGCAUUCGUGUUAUUACAUUCUUCUAUUAUGGCCAUGUACUCUUGGUAACACCUAUGCUCUUGUUUCUUCGUAUAACACAGGGUAUCCUGAGUUCAGUUAAGUCUCCUUCUAUUCGACGAGUAUCUUUGGGUUUGGUGCUUUCCCACAAAUAGAAGUCAGUUAAGGGGUCAGCAGCAAGUUAUAAGUCAGCUACAAGACGUUGUGCGCCAACAGGAGUUUUUGACGGAAAGGGAGUGGAAAGAGAAACCCCAGUGUGAGGAAGAUCUAGGAGAGGUGGUAUAGGUGCGACUCAUAUUGAAUUCCACUCCUCCGGUCUAAUACUAAAACGAUUAUGACUCAUACUUAUACUACCUGUUAGGGCAAGAACUAUACUUUAUGAACGGACCUUCACUCAAGCUUGCUUCAAAGCCGAUACUUUCUUCUUUUCUUCCUCUAACUGCUAGCCUUUCCUUUCGAAAUACCUUUGUUUGUUCCCUAGCUUGUGUCGGUUAAGUAGGCAGUAGCUCCUUCUCGUAGCGUAGAGAUGGGUUCGGCGGUAGAGGGAAGCAGUUGAUUUACAAACUUAUAUACCAAGUGCUAAACCCAGGGAGGAAAUAGAAGAACCUGAAGCAGCAUGAUUCUGUUGCGAGUGUUGGCGACUCGAGAGGUAAUUACGUUGUUGGUUAAGAAAGAAAGUAUAGUUCGCGUGUGAAAGUUCUCUACGAUAGAGAAUCAGAGUCUCAAAUCAGUUAUUAAAAGAUCUUGGAGAGAAAUAAGUACUGGCCGGUUAAGAAAAGAAGAAAAAGAGAUACUACUGGCUUGUUUUGAAGGGAAGAAUCAAUUACUGGUUUUGAAGCAUGGCUGUCGACGAUAUAAUUAAUCAGCUGUGCGCGUAAGGUACGGAGUUGUAGAAAUGAAUGUUUGACUCGGUGCAACAAGACGAGCAAGCUUUGACUCGCCACAAGACAACGGAUAAUGAAAGGUUGCAGGCAAGUGCAUCCCUUAGUUAUUAGUUAUAUGAUAUUAGGUUAUAUAGAUAGAGAGCAUGUAGUUAAGAAUUAGACUCGAAUUUGGAGUUUAGUCCGUAGCUGUGCUAACGGUAGCUUUAAGAGCGAGUUAAUAUUUCGUUGAUUUUGACCUGCACCUUGAUAGUGAAAUACCAAAUGUAUGUCGUCAGUAAAUUGAAGCGCUAAGUUGUUUCGCGGGCUCGGGGGUGAAGUAGAGUAUCACUCCGUUCUUGGUGAAUCCUUCUAAGUUGGUGAAUCCUUCUGAGUUGGUGAAUCCUUCUGAGUUGGUGGUAAGUCUCUUUCUGCUGAAUUAGGACUCGGCUAAAAGAGUGACUGUUUGAGUGCUCGUUAAGUCUAGGAAAGUAGCUAGGGAAAGAAAGGAACCAAUGCCGUUUGUUUGUAAGGCAAGAGAAGCAGUUAGAUCUGUGGAGCAAGAUCAGAGGUAUAGUAGCAAGACAAGAUCAGAGGGCCAAGCAACUUCUACAAAGGCAUAACAAGUAAAGAACUCAUAUAACAUGUCUUAAUGAGUUGUUCCCGAGUCUUGUAUUCAUGGCGGCAGGAGCCCCGUCAGUAGAAAUAUCAGUAUACGCUUGGCAGUUGCCCUUAUAUUUAGUCGGUAUAGCUCUUUCAAGAAGUAUUUGUUUACAGAGUAUGAUGAGACUGCCCUUAAUUAAUGCCAUCAAGCAAAGCGGGAAGGGAGAGAGGUUCGCCCAGUGACAGUUCUAGACUCCACUCUUAACUUCUCGCGCAUUCCUUUAAUGACCAUUCCUUUCAUUACUAGUUUUGAAUUACUUUUUAUUCCAAUACUCGGGGAGGUUAGGGUUGCCUUACUUAUAUUACGCAGGAAAGUUCACUUUAGAAUAAUAGGAUGGAGCUAGGCAUGCUAGAGGCCAGGCCGGGGCAGUAUAAAAAGAAGAAAAAGUAGACUUGGAUCUUAAAGCUAACUAUCCCUUUGAAGACUCCAAAUCAAUCAGCGAGUAGGAGCGGGAUCGGGAUCUGAAGAAACAAGUAAACUACUGAGUGACUUAAAAGAAGAUAGUUUGGGUCCGUUUCCGUUUAAGCAGAAGCAAGAUCCGGCGAGGAUGCCCUACGUAAAUGUUUGUAUUAGUAUGCACCACAGGCGAGCGAAUCCUAAUUAAUAUCGGCAGUGAGCUUAUGAGUUUUCUCCUUAGUUUCAUCCCGCUAAGCCCUAAAACAAAUAACUGGGAUGCUCAUUCUUCUGUCUUCUGAUUAUCAACUUUCACACACCGUAUUCUUUCUUAUUUGCAUCCACCGUAUUAUGUGGCUCUGAGAACUUAUUCCUAGCACUUUCCUUUGGAAAUUCAGAAUGGUUGGUGCUCUGGGAUACUUGUUGGGGGGCGAGUUCAAUCAAUAAUCUAUUGUCCAAUAGGAAGGAGGCUGCCUUAACUCCGGCAUCAAGUGGGAUAAAUGAAUCUAUUGUGCCAUUGUGUAAGAACAGUGCUUUUCCGUGCUUUUAGAAAUGACUCUUUUGUAAUCUUUUAUGCUUCAAAACAGGAACAACAAGACCCGUAGGUUUCGCUUCUAAGAGCGGAUACAGUCUCACCUUAUGAUGCCCCAAAGAGAAAAACCAAAUCCAGGAGUAGUCCCAGUGAGGCAAGCAGCCAGCGAAGGAUAGAGCGACGUAUUAAGGGUUAGUUUUCAUUGACCAGCGAUCAUAAAAGAAAGCAAAGGUAGGUAAGACCGAGCGCGCAGGAGGGGAAUUGGUCGAAUUGGAUUUAAGAUAACCCAAAUUCGGAGUAAUAGGGAAAGUACCAGUUGGACAGGAAGCACCCACCAGUGAAGCCAUUGGCUAAGAUCCUUCUUCUUUUCUUGCUUCUGCUUGAGUCUAUUCUUUACCUUGUUAUAUACGAUCUUGGUGUAGCUCGCUGGAAUGAAAUGGAAAUAGAAACUCCAGUAAUGUCACUUUAAGAAGAAGAACCACUUGAAGAUUACUUUCGCACUGCUUACUCACUCCUUAUUCCUGUCUCCUUGCCUAUUAGCUUGGCUACUGGAAUCUUUCUUUAAACGGAGCUCACCCCUUUUUCUAUUGCAUUAAGCAGCCGCCGAAAGAAAGUAGUCCCAAUAUCGGCUUGACUUUACUCCUUUCCGAUCGCUGGGGCACUAAUCUAGCAGUUUUGAGUAUCUUUGGUAUAUGCGAUCCUUCGCCACAGAUCCCGACUCUAGAUAAUGGAUUGGUCAACCCCUCGGCACAGAGAGCGUUUUCGAGUGUUUUUUCCAAUGCAACCUGGGCUUCUAUUAACCUAGAUUGAUUCCAACUUUUCUUUCAUCCCGUUUUAAACCAUACGGCCGAUCACUAAGUUGCUGUCGACGCUCUUCUCUUCAUCAGAGAGCAACGGUUCUACAGAAGAGCAGCCUUAAUAGGUUGGCAAGCAAAGAUCGACACGGGAACAGAGCAGAAAGCAAGUAGACAGAUAGGUUGUUUUCGAUGCUUGAGAAUCCGCUGUUCGCCUUUCUCUUGCGCUAGAGCCUGCCGGUAUCAGGAUAAAAGAAAGUAUCGUGGGUCUCUCUGAAAGAAAAGAAGAUGACCAAUUGUUGAUCCGAGAAGGAGGCAAUCCCUAGCUGCACCUGCCCAUCGGAGAGACUGAACUGGAGAUGCUAGAAUGAGUAUUUUUCUCUAGAACGAACGAGCCCGGUAACGGACACCAGCUAACCUAAAUAACGUGUUAGGUUCUCACACAUCAUAACAUUGGGCCAACAGGACCAUAGCAAGGGUCGAGGAUCUAGUUAGUAGGGCAAUUCCUUAUAGUCGAUUGGGUAGAUUGGGGACAUGAUCAAGAUUUCACCCAAUACAUCUUUGCGGCAUCCCGUCUCAGAGAUAAAUGAUUUCUCUUUUGAGAUAGAUACACCCGAGCAAAUCAGGAGACUCCGCCGCCACCGGGGGAUGAGCUAUAACAACAUAUGAAUUAUUUAUAUGGGAUAUAACUCGAACAGAAACAACAUUUCCAAGCGCAUAUUCUAUACAGUAGGAUUCCAGAGAAAAGUAUACUUCCAGUCAUCUCCAAGGCAAACCAACCGACCUUUAAUGCCUGCACGUUCUGCUCUAUUUAGGUGAACACCAUAUCCCCUUCUUCGGCUUAGGCAUAUAGGGAGUUAACAAGCAAGCAGAGAUUCUUUCCGGGAUGACAAAAGGAGACCAGACCCGUUUCCAUGGACCAUAGAGAUAGACAAAAGGGUGUAGUUACAUAGGAUUCCGUGAUGAGGAGAUUUCUCGAGUGGUAUAGCUUUCCGAUUGAGUAGACAGACGGGAUCGGGUUCCUUGCCUUGUGAUGGUUCCUUCGGGAGGCGGGCUAGACUCUUCAGCGUAACAUACGAUGGACGAGAGACAAAAGAAAGACGAAUCACCAUAACUUAUGGACGGCACGAGGUAAUGUUAAUAGAAGCUCGAGGCGGGUUAGGGGCUUAUGUUAAGAUGACUUUCUCCUAUUACUGGGAUCCAGGGCGAAGGGAAAAGGAGAGGCUAUUCCAGAGUCCAAUCCCAAUCUCAAGAAACCUCUUCAACUCACUCCAUUAGAUUAGCUAGUUUGUAGUCUGAACCUGCACAACGGGAAAGAACCGGUCUGUAACUCCAGCAAGCGAUCAGCACACCCUUAGCCUUAGGAAGGAGCUUCUCAUACGUAUCAGCAUUAAGUUUGUGCCCUCUUCCCUUAUCCGUAACAGCAGGAAAGAAAGCAUUUUAGCAAUAUAAGGCUGUACUUACAGUGCUAUAAAGCGCACUGAAACCGCUUUUUCACAAGCGGAACGAAACAGAAAAGAAGCUAGCCACCUUCCCCUCCCGCAACCAACAUAUGCGACCGUCAAGAUCAUACAGUCAGUGCUCACUUUCGAGAUGCUUUUAGAAAGAAGUCAGGGAAGUAAGAGCAAUUGUGAAACUCUUCCUUCGCGCCUACGUAAUUCUUUGGAAGUGAAAGCAAGCAGGACAAAAGUUAAUGAAAACAGCAGUGAGGCCCUUUCAACCCUACUAAAGCACUCGAGGAAGAAUCAUAAUAAGAGUAAGGUUAAUACGGUUAUGCCUCAGUAUCGAAAAGAAGGCUAGAUCGCCCUCUGCCAACUGAAACGGAACUUUCUCUUAUAUAUUCCCUGCUUUCCUACCCGGUAUGAGCUCCGUUUACUUGAGGGGAUCCGGACUUGCUUUCACCUGCUCUUGAAACAACUUCUUUAUAAGAUGACACUCGGGAUGAAACAAGAACAGAAAUAGACUUUUUACCAAACCCGUGUUUUCAAGAAGAAAGGGAACCAUAGGAAAUAAAUCAAUAAAGAAAUACUAGGCUAAAGAGGGAAUAAAGAAAAGGUACUCUUCUUGUUAUAGGGUUCGGCAGCUAUGUUCUUUGGUUACCGCUACGUAAGAUGUAAGUAGUGAGUCAGCAGAACUAGCCGUUGCGCGUAAGCUUACAGUUUUCUUCGGGACACGUUAGGAGUUUCCCAGUUAGAGUUCACUUAAGUGCGCAGUGUUAGGUUACUUUAUUAGAGAAGUUGUUAGUUAGAUUGAACAAGCAAGGGCAAAGAGAUCUAUUCUGACUUUAGAGAAGCAAGGGCGAUUGGUAGAUUCAAUUCAAACAAGCUCAGGGGUUGUCCUAGAGAGAGUAAUUGACUGAAUUCUAUGGUUGUCCUAGAGAGAGUCAAUUUCAUAUCUUCUACUCAGGCGGGGGUUCUCUUAGAGAGUCAAUUUCAUAUCUUCUUUCUACUCGGGGUUCUCUUAGCUUAGAGAGUCAAUUUCAUAUCUUCUAUCUAUAAGUGGUGCAACUCCAUUCUCUUGUUUUUAGUAAACUCCCUUCUUUCUAUCGCUUACCCUUACCCGGCUCAAGUUAGGAUUGAAUUCUAUCUAUCUACUUUAUUCUGAAAGAAAGCAAACAUAACAACAUAGCUCAGCUCCUAAGAGAUGCUCCAACUUAUAUUAUAAGCAAUGCUCCGUUUUGUUCCAAAAUGUUAGAAUAGGUGGUAUAUAGGUAUUCUUUUCUUAACGUAUUGCUUGUUGCUUCGUUUAAGAAGGAAUCUCGGCACAUUUCAAUACAAUAACAAGUUCUGAUUGGGAAGCCUUUAGCCCCCUGGAGAAGAUCUUAUUGACGACGCCUUUCAUUGAAUCGAAUUAUAUAGUUAUAUAGUGUCGAAUAGAAUUAUAUAGUUAAGUGCAUUUAUUUCAUAUUAGUUAAUAGAAGUACAGGUACCAACAUUUCAUACAUUUGUCAUGUAAGCACCCAAUACUUUACUAUAGUCUGAGGCAGCUCUUUAGAGUUUAGAGUGAAGUUACUCAAUGUUCGAAUUUGUCUACUUAACCGCUCUAUACGUGUAUGAUCAUUGACUUCGCCUUUCCUGUAACCUAUGUUCUUUACUCAUAGAGAGUAGGUCGGGUGAUUCUGAAAUUCUAUUGAGGUGCGUGCCCAUCUAAUAUGUACUUGUUGAGUUCGAACAAGCAAACCCGUGCCUUAGUGAGUGAAGAGGAGAUGCUCUAUUUCCUUAUUUAUGAGAGUGAGGGCAAUGUUGCUACUAGAAUCUAUAUGAUGCUCAAGAGAUUCAAUGAAAUGAAACAAACGACUAGUUCAAUGAAAAAGGCAAGCAAGCUGUUGUGCCCUACUUGAAUAAAAGCAGGUAAGCAGUGUCUUUACAGGAUUCUAUACAAUGUGCUCUUUUCGAGGGAUUCCAUUCAAUAAGUGAGUAAGCAUAAGCAGUUAUAUAAAUAUCUGACAUUACUAAAUCUUGACAUUAAGAAGUUUCUACUACGCCCUUGCGCAUUAGCUUAUUAGAGUAAGGAGUUUUUUGACUACAUUCUAUCAUAGGGAGCAUUCAAUUCCAUUCAAACAAGCAAGUAGAGUAGUAGGGUAGAGAAAAAGCAACGGAGCAAGCAGUCAGAUGUGUUCUUACAAAUUUCUAUAAGUUCAGUUGUGCACUAUCUUGACUGUGUUUUUCAUCAAUUCUAUAUAUGUGAACACCUCCAUUAUCUUAUUUUGGAUUCCGUUGCGCACUAACGCUUUGAUGCUUUAGUUCUUCUUUGAAGCUGUAGUAAGGCUCUUUUUUCUUUGUUUGAAGCAGUAGUUAGGCUCUCUUUCUUUGUUGAUGCUGUAGUUUGCUGGGAAGAAUCUCAUUGGAGGUGUGGUAGGUCGACUGCUUUCGGAGUAGUAAAUCGCAUCAUAAGCUAGUAGGUCAUAUGGGUUCCGAGGAGCAAGCUGCUCGUCCGGUUCAAGUAGUCACUCUUAUACCGUGCUGUAGGGCAAGUAAUACAUUAUUUCUUUCUUUCGGCUUGGAGAGUGCUUUUGCUUAGAGAAUAUUGACAUUAAUGCUUGGGGAAAGUUGGAAAGUCGGUUACGGGAAGAAGAACGCUACACUCCGAGUAAAGCGCUCCAUAAAGUUAGAACCGAGCAAAGAGACAGAGCUGCUAUCACCCGGAACCUGUGCCAGAGCCAGUACUACUCCAUCAAAGCGGGAGCCGGUUCAAGUAAGUAUUGCCGGGCGAGUUAGGUGCUAGGAGAAGUAGUAACUAAACCAGUUCGGAAAUAAGCAGUCUUUAAGUAAACUACAUUAAGUCAAGCUCCAACAAGCCGGAAGUAUAGCUAGUUCUUUCAAGCAAGUGAAGUCAAUAUAUAGUGAAAGUAGAAAGCUCAUAGUUCCAAAAAUAGACUCUUUGAAAGCUCAUAGUGAAAAAAAGAGACUAUUUAUGUUUCGAUGCGGGAACGAAAUCAAACAAUAGGGUGCCGACCGGCCAUAGAGAUCACUUUCCGUUGCAAAAGAAAGGGGAUAGUGAAAGUCAUAAGGCUGUUACGGUGGUAGAGAGAGAAAGCAACCUUCUAUAUAGCUUCUCCAACUUAAUAAUCCGCGAUAGCAGUUCCAAAAGUAAGGUCCGCGCGGUACAAGACAAUCCGUUUCAUCUUAUACAGAAGAAGAAGAGAAUCUAGCUCGAAUCACAGAAGAAGAAGAGAAUCUAGCUCGAAUCUAAUGCCAAAGUUGUAAGGAUCUACCCAUUGCACUCGAAACUAGUCCUGUUUCGGGAGUUACAUGGGCUGCUAGACCUCUAGGAACAAGCAAGGAAACAAGCAGUAGGAAUUGCAACUCCGUUAGCGCCUCACCUUAGCCAAAGACAGGACUCGCUUCUAUUCUAAAGCUCCCGUUAGCUUACUUAGUAACUGGCUACCAAAUUCCCCUUGAAGAACCGACUCACUACAGAUGGAAGAAACCGCUCCAUGUAAUGGGCAUUCUUAAAGAGCUGAUCUAUACUCCGAUGACACAAGAAACGAUAUAUAUAACUAUAGCUUGUUUCGACACCUCGCUUCAAAACAGGUAAUAAGAACAGAACGGAAAGUCGAGGAAAUUCAAGAAAAACGAAAGCCACAUCAGGCCUUAGCUAAAAUCAUAAUGAAUAUAAGGGUAUACUCCAAUAGCGCAUCUAACAUGGAAUUGCCUUACUAUAAUAACUCAUUCCCUAGCUUGUUCUCUAAGGAAUAGAAGGUGGGCACCCUUCACGUAAGCGCACCAAAAGAGUGAUAGGUGUUUUGAAGCAAUAAGUGAGUAUAAGUGGAGUAGUUUAGUGUAUAUAAAAGGUAAUCUUAAUCUCGUAGAUUGCUAUUUUAGAGAAACUCAUUCACAUUGUAUUCUGUUCUUUCUUCCAUUUAUUUACGAUUCUACUCGCACCCUUUGUUUAGCCACUACAUUCAGUACAAUGAUAUCAGAAUUGAAGCAGUACAAUGAUAUCAGAAUUGAAGCACCCAAGACACUGGAAAUCAGAUGAAUCACACCGCCAGCACCAACAUAUACUAUCUUAGAGACUUACCACUUGCAGACGGCAUAUUGACUAGAACCGGGGAAGGCCCUGAAGUAUUGGCCCACACCAGGAAGUCCUCUCUCUGCGCGCUUAGCUUUCUUUGAGAAACUUCAUAUACCUACCCUUAUCUUUGCUUAGUUGGAUUUUAGAAACUUCAGAUACCCACCCUUAGAUUAGAGAAUUCUCAAUGAUAGAAACAGGGUCUGGGCUGGCCUACAAUACAAGUGGUGGAAGCGGCUCAAGCAGUCCACGCGCAGUAAAGAUCUCCAAUUGCAUGAGUGUCGGAUGUAAAGGAGACAACAACUCCUUACCCAGUCAAUUGUACUGUGGUGAUUAACUCAAUCUUCUGACUCGGAUUCUCUUUCCUAAGAAAUUGAUAGCUAGGAGUCCGGGAAGCAAGGAGAGAAGAGCACCUUUUAUUGGAGUUCAUGCCAUCGGUGUAGCCAGCUCAGUACUAAUAGGGUUGUUUUCGAUGGUGAAAUGCUAACUGCCUUUCGGAUGUCAUAAAAAAUGAACGAUAACGUCGGUUAGGUAGGUACUAUAAGGUGCUGAAAGCCUGUUGAUACAAAAAAGGUGCCUUAAACUUCGCAUUUGCAGAGAGAUUAUUUCUACUAGGCUUAUUCCAAACCCUAUCUCUAUACAAACAACAAACAGAAUCCAACCCGCUCUUAACUUACCUUAUCUCUAUACAAACAAACAGAAUCCAACCCGCUCUUAACUUACCCUCAACCCAUACCUUACUUAAGGAAGAGGCACUUACUGUUAUAGAAUCGCAUUAUUGACUUCGCGCCUUUCCCACCCUUUUGACUCGGUUCGGUCAAGUAUCUCCUUUCGAGCUUGCCCUCUGCAAUCGACAUGGAAAGAAAGAGAACAAUCAACGGAACUAGAGCUUUAGGCAAGGCAAUAAGUAGUAGCAGCCUAAGUACUUACGUAUGCGAAACGAACAAGUUAGCGAGUCCAACAAGUAAGUAAAGAACUGGAACUCGUGGAGCUACAGCAGGACAGUAAGAUUUCACUGAAAGGGAUGCAGUGCGGUAUCUCGGAUCAAGUAAGCGGAACGGUAGCAAAGCCAAGAAAUCUUCUAGGUAGGUACCAAGUAAUAGGUCAGCAGCAAGACAAGAUAUGGUUGGGUAUGAAGUCGGAGUAGUAGGAGUAGGGCUCCGUGGGUCUAUACGAUCUGGAAACACAGAAUUAUUCAAUCAAUAUUCAAGCCUAAUAUCUUUAUUGUAGGGGAGAGAGUGAGAUGAGAGGCAAUGCAAUGAUAGAAGCUUGCAGUAGAGCAGACCAAUACUAUAAUAUAACUAUAAUAGCAGUGGAAAAGCAAUAAUAUCACAAUAAUAGCAGUAUCAAAGUCAGAUGAGAGGUAAUGAUUUAAGUUGAAGUAGAGCAGACCAAUACAGUAUCAAAGUUAGAUGAGAGUGUUUUUGCCGACAUCCGCUCUGCCGCUUCAAGAUACCGAAGUUUAGUAAAGGCCACCCAUUUCAUCAUUUGCUGUCCUUCUGUAGGGAUUGCCCAGGUCUUGAUUCCCAGUCUGGCUUAUUGAUCCACCUUUCUCAUUAGUAAGUCUAAGGGAAAGCACUAAAGUAGAACAAAUCUCUACCCCUUUAUGCUCGUAGUAGUUUUGACGAUGUGAUUGACACAGUGACAAACAAGCCUAAAGAACCAGCAUAUGCGCUUAUCAAGGAAGCAAUGCAAUGGUUCUAGGAGAUUGCCUAAGAAGGAAAUACCAAAGAAAUGAACUCAGCAGCCAAGUCAAGAGAGAUAAGAGUUUGACCUCCGGAUCUAUUUAAUGCGGUGCAGCAGAAUGCACAGAGACAAGAGAGCACCCGGAAGCAGCAAGCCAGCCAUCCAGGGCCCGUCAAAAGCAAGCCUCUUAACGAAUCCCAAGCUCAAAAGUCCGCUAAGCAACUAAGAAGGCAGCGUCUCAGGCCAAUUAUGAUCCUCACCAGCAAUAAGGUGCUCCUGGGGACCCAAUUGAACUUACUACCCGUAAUAAGCCUUACCCUCUUUUCCAUCCUUCUUGCCCUGGAAAGCCUUUUCUCUGCCCGGAGAUAAAGCACUCCCCUGGCCUCCUGGUCUCGACUAUUGAAAAGUGCAUUUCAUCGAUACGCAGGCCAUAUCCGCGAUGAGUUUGUGUAAUACUUUGCUUGCUUGUUGAAUGGAAGAAAAGAAGAUGAUAGACUACUAUUGCUUGUUUGAGUUGGGCUAUCAAAUUAGGGCAAUAAGGCCAUUAUCAUGGUAAGACCUCUGUUCAACGUUACUAAUGUCACAAACCCCGCAGCAAGCAGUGUUUUUCGUUUCUCUAAGGGCUAAGCAGUCUUUCAAAGAAGCGCUGUAGUUUGCUGACUCCUGUCGUGUUGGAUUCUAACUUGGCCUGUAAACUCGCUCGCACCGAUGGUUCUACUACUCAUUCAUAAACAGACAGACAGGGACGCUGACACAAUGGAAAUGGCCUCUGACAGCAAUAUAAUCCCGGCGGUAUUCACUUUUUCACUAAAGUCACCACCUUGUCUUCGAGACACGGGAAGUUCGUCGCUCCACUUCUGACUUCGUAUGGUUCAAUGGACUGGGAAGAACGGUCACUUCUAUCCUUCGGCUCUAUCUCCCCUUCUGUGAAACCUACUAUGCAAGUCACUUUACUAAUCCCGCAUAAAGAAUCUACAUAGUCGUUGGUGAUCUGACUGGAAUGUGGAAGGUCUACUUUCUGGAAUCACAGAUGUUAUAUGCUUCUCGCCUGGGUCUAUGCUUCAACCUGGACGGACGCUGCUUGCCUCUUCCUUUCGCUCGGGAUAUUUAUACUGGAUUUGUCCCCUUCUAUCCUAGCUCUUUUCCUCUUAUUUCUGCUCGGGAUAUUUAUACUUCGUCCCCCUCUCUCUUAGCUCUCUUUUCCUCUUCUUUUGUUCCGUAUCCGACUAUUGAUACAGCUUCCGAUAUUGACCUACUCCGGACGUAAAGCUUCCUAACUUGCGCCCCAACCUCUGAUUCCUCUUCUCUUACUUCCAUACUACUACUCAAUUCUAUUUAACGUUUACAGAUAGAAAAAAGAAAUGUACCGAUUUCAACCUGUCACAUCUUAUCUUACUUAUGUCUUUCUAUACCCUUUCAAUUCCAUGAUUUUGACCAUUUCUUUUCUUUAACUAUAGAUGUAAAAGCGGUGAGGCAGAAUAGAGUGAGCUUCAAGUCAGGAAUAACAGAGUGAGUGUACGUUCUUCUAUACAAUGGUGAUUACAAAUAUUCCUUUUGACAAGCAACUCGGGGUGCGUAAGUGAGCUUUGGAGUUUUUGUAGUUCUAGAGUAAUAAGUCAGUUUCUAGUGUUGUUACGCUCUAUCUUCUAUGAGUUGAGCACUUAAGUCAGUUUCUAGUGUUGUUACGUUCUAUCUUCUAUGAGUUGAGCACUCUCUUCGAGAAUUGAUUAAAUAACUCGCUUGUUCUGUGAUAGUGCAUUUGAGCCUAAACCGGAUACAUAUGGAAAAGUUGUCACCUUACUCUCAACCCCAAAGACAUAAGCAUUAGCGCCCUGCCCUAAUUAGCACGUAGAAUUUUAGUGCAUAAACGCAUAAGAGAAGAGAAUGGAAAGCACCCCCCCAUUAUAGAAUCUAGUAACAUUACUUAUUUAUAUAGUUUGGAUAUAGUUAUGAGGUUCUUUUUCACCAUUGGGAUACCAGAUACUUUAUACCCUUUCGUACUUAACUUUCACUUGACUUCUUAAGCAACGAAUUCGACUUCCCGCUGGCUGCUUCAUCUGGGCACUGCUUUUCAUCUGUUCACUUCUUCUUAAUAUGAUAUGAGACUAAAUUGGGUAAAGAAAGUGCCUUCCACUUAUAUUCUUUUUAGAGAGAGGUCCGGUACCUAUGCAAAGUCAUUAUCCUUCUAUAUGUGGGUCCCUAUUGGUAAGAUGAGUCCAUAAUAUAGUCUUUUCACGGGUCAAAUAACGGAUAUCUAAUCAAUUCUUCAAUUAAGCGCCAACUUGACAGAGAGUCAAUAGCUGUUUCACACAAGCACCUUUCCUAUACUUCACUAAUACAGCAGAGUAUAUGCCUGGCCUCGAAAUAAGGGGUAAGGACGGACUUUACUUGCUCUAGUUUCGUUAGCGAGCUAGACUAGCAACACGGUGGAAUAACAAAGAAAAGAGUUACGCAUGACACAUAUAGAAUAGAGUCAAUCAAAUGGCUUAUUUCAUUUUCAUAAGUGCGCGCAAGUCUUAUCUUAGAGGAAUUUCGAAAGUCACUUCACAUUGAACUCUCUGCUCUUUGUCGCUGCUUAAGGGGAACUUCUUUAAGCCGCCCUUUCCACCCGACCUUCUAUCUAAAUUCGAAUAUCUUACUUCCUGCUUUCUUUUCUGACUCUGCUAACUUAUUCUAACACGAAAAUGUACCUUACGCUAGCUUGGCUCCUGUCCGGGUACUAAACAGGUUCUUAAUUCCUUCGAGUGAGAGUUCAAUCUCUUUCUAAAAGGCUAUAGCCCUAUCGAAGUGACUUACGGCCAUUCUAUUUGAGUGAACGAAGCCAGCGAAAGGUAGAUUUCUUCAAUCAACACCUCUUCUAUCUCGAUGCGAAACCUUAAGUGGCCAAGCUUCAAUUACUAUGAAUUACGUCGUUGAAGUUAGCACUGAUGGGAAAGCCGUCUACUGUUCUAAGGCGUUACUAUGAUCAAAGAAAAGCCUAUCAGAGACAGACCAAGUUCUGUAGAGAAAAAGAACACAUGAGCCUCGGGGCGCUUUGCUUAUUCUUUGUUUCGAGGUGUGCUAGUUAGUUUAGUGAGUUUGUUUACCAAUUUCCAUAAGUGUCAUGCUUCAUUCUUUUCAACAAGAACUAUGGCUUUCGAACACUAAGGCACAACUUCAUCUUCAUUCUGAAGUUAUUACUUCUUAGGUGCAGCUGCUUCAAAUCCAACUUAUGCUUAAGCCUCCUUCAGAUCCAGAUCUACCUAACCCUGCAGCUUAAACCAAUUCUGAAAGAGUAGAUUCGGCUUCAAACCCUUUCAUUGCUGAUGAAACUUCUUUUUCUCUUUCGUCGCCCUAGAUACCUAACAGCGGAUUCUCUUGUCACAGUUGAUUCUCGAACCGCAAUUCAGGAUUCUCUUGCUUCACAGCUUAAAACUACCUCUCCUUGCUAUGAGCCUUGCUUACUUUACCUUAUUAUACUAUAUUACUAAUCAUAAUGUAACAGGGUCUCCCAAGACUUAAGACUCUGCUGGAAAGAAUGUACCUACGACUAACAAUACCUGAACCCGGAACUUGGCAUUCAACUAAUGACUUAAAAGCUAAUGUAUCCCAAGGACUCCUAUUAGAAUUGAGCUAGCUACACAGACAGACUUAUAAUGCCAUUAACAAGAAUCGAGCUAUUGCUAACCCUACUCCGGGCAAGCAGCCCUCCACUACAGCGCACUUCUUUAUCUCAAACAUAGGUUCCACUCUCGGGCUAACUAUCCUUUCCUCUCUACUUAAGCCUUACCUUUCACUCUCUUAGACUCCCACUUCGUGGCCUUACUGCUUUCUUUGUUUGAUCCUGAUGAUGACCUGUUUGAUUCUUGGUUGGUGGAAUACCUUUCUAAGUCAACUAAUACAAAUGUGGAAUACCUUCCUAAGUCAACUAAUACUAAUACUAGAAAGCAAGAUUGAAACACAUAAGUAUGAGACAGGCAGUCAAUACCCUUCCACCCCGAACUACUAAAAUGAAACUACCUACACGCUUUGACCCUUAGGCCCCGGCAUUUCACUCUGAAACUACUAACGAAAAGUAGGUCGCUCCUCGCUUUGAGCUUUGGCCUGCCCCUACUGAUCUAAUAUCUGUUUACUUACCCCCAGCUACUAGGCCUUUUCCUUACACUCCCGCUCUCUUGUUUCGGGCUUACCUCUGGGUUUUCUACUGACUUUUUGUAUUCCUUGACUCCGGACUUGGGGAAUCGAGCUCGGAACUAGGAAUGACACUGGUGCUGACAAGGCUUCAGAGCACCCCAAAAAGUAGAUAAAACGACUCACUAGAAGAAUGGGACUACUAACUAGCGGAAUGCAACAACGCCCUAGUUAAUCAAACUAACAAUAGAAAAAUCGAACUGGAAAUAUGGGCUUAACUCUCUUGGAAAUAUAGGCCACCGGUUGAUAAGACUUGGGCUGAUGCUUAUAAUUCUUUAGCUACUGUCUCUUGGCCUGCUGCUGCUUACCUCAAAUCUCACUUCGAUAGUUGGUUUGGGUCUGUCCACUCCCUGCCCCAUUCUCUGUAGUUCGGGCUGAAACCUGCCACACUCUCCACACUCUUUCCAUCCUUGGACGGUGAGCUAUAAGACUCACAUUGCUAGUGACUUGGCGCAUCCUAACCACCAACUCGCAAACUAACAUCCCGACACAUAAAAUAUGACUUGAGCCACCUUCCUGUUUAUCAUUCGGAAACUGCGCCCAGAACCGAAAUCUUAUGCUAACUCUGUUAGUACCGAAAUCUUAUGCUAACUCUGUAGUAUUAUACUUAUUACUAUGGGCCUGCCUCCCCCGUCUUCCAUCCUGACCAUACUGCCUCCCAGGCAAACGACCUAUUCUUUCUUUGAUUCGGGCUUUACAGCCUAUGAUCCUGACUUUGCUUGGUAAAACUAACCCCCUAACGACUGAAAUCGCUGCUAUCAGACUGUUAACUCUGUGUGAUAUCUGGAUCCUUUAACCAAUAACGAGAAGAAGCAAACACGGAAUCAGGAAUUGAGUGACUAAUGAUUAGAGGCCGAUACCACUACUAACAAGAAUAGAACUCUGGCAUCAUACUGAACUACGGAUCUCGAAGCUGUCCUUCUUACCUAGCUUUCACUCUUAGGCUACUGAUCUAAAAUAUGUAUCUGUUGAUUGAAACUCACCUUUUCUUGCUUAUAAGCUAGAAACUGAACCUCGCCGACCUAUACCCAUAUUUCUUGUACCUGUUCUUUGCCCCCUUGCUUGGAAACUUGUACUGAUAAUAGUGAGCCUGUCCUGUAUUACUUGAAAACUGGAUUGAGUCUUUGAUUCGUCUACUGCUUAAUUGAUUUAUGGUAGCUUGCCUCUAAGUCUCCUACUUGCUUCUUUCAAUCCAACUCCCCGAACUCCUAUUCUGACUUACCCUGUUGAUCCGCCUGUCGCUGCUUUCUCUAAUUAUGACUUUCCUUACUAUUAAUCUACUGCUCGAUCUAGAUCUGCUCUAACGGGGAUGAAACUAUCACAUCCAAAUACGAGACUUCCGCCCCGACCCCAAGAGUAAGAGCACCGGUGGGCAUUCAUUCGAAAAGAGAUUAUCCUCCUGAAACUACUAUACUAAUAAAGGCGAAAGGGGAGGAAACAAGCUUAGGCUCGGCUGCCUUAGACGUCACAUUAGUACUUUACUCAAUUGCAAGAAAGCGGAUUCCCUAACAAGUUAUCUAAGGAAUACUUCUUCCCUCACUUGUUCUCUAAGGAAUAGAAGGUGGGCACCCCGGAAAGUAAGCACACAUUAGCACAGGGGCGAACUAAGCUCUAAAGUAUGAUAAGAAUAUAGUGACACAUGAAUAUAGAACUUAGUGGUAAACAACAUCCUUACCGCUUACCCUUUAUUUCCUGUAGUAAAGCCCCGGACUCUUGCUUGUUGGAAAGAAUGGAACUGAGACAACAUAUGCUAUAAGUGCCAGACUGCUGACUCAAACCAAUAAGUCUUAGCGUUCAAAACGGCUUCUGGAACUCUACCCUUUUGCUACUUUGAUACUUUGGGGAAUUUGGAGACUUUCUUGAAUAUAGUUGGGGAGCGCAUUAACAAGAAAAAGGUGAGGUUGAAAAACGAGCAAGCAAUAUAGUAGGGGGGCGAAACUACUGUUGUUGGGCCAGUGUGAAGAGUGAAUCUGCAUUUCAUCUUCUCUUGCUAAGCAUAUAAUAUAUAAGAUCUCUUGCAUAGCAUAUAACAGAUGAACAACAUAGAGCAUUGAUGAACAACAUAGAGCAUUGACUCGAAUCUCACUAUGGCACAAGUAGAAGUAAGCUAAUGCGUAACGGCACAAAGGCGAACUCCCUGUAGUUUUUGUAACUGGCAUAACGUUGCUUGUUUAUUCAGUUGCGCUUACGGAGUUUUUUGAGUUCCUGUCAUCGGCUAAUACGAGUUCCCAGUUCAAGUGUGAUCCACGAGAGAAGAGGUUUACAGCUUGACCUUUGCUUUUUGAGUGCUUCUGUUAUUUACUUGACCUUUGUUUUAGUGGUGCUUCUGUGACCCUUAUGUUUUAGUGGUGCUUCUGUGACCCUUAGCCAGAUUGACAGCUUUACCUUUGCCUGAUUGACUUUCUCGUUAGUGCUUCUGUAAUCCUUAGUAAGAUUGACAGCUUUACCAACACCGAGCUUAUUGAGUUGGGCCAGUGAUACUUAUAUUAUACAUUAUACACUGCUUCAUUUCAUCUAGCUAUACAAAUAUAGAGAAAAGUCAGAAACCUUCACCUGGAACCUAUCACUUCUGACUCUCUUGGGGCGGGAGUUCCACUUGUAGCAGUGUUUUUCGUUUCCCUUGCUCUUAAUUCGGCUUAUUAUUCGUUACUCAUCCCAUUGCUUGUUGUUCUAUCUCUUCUCUUAAUAAUGGAAUUUAGGUUAGGUUCAAAGGCGUUAAACAAAGAAAACUCUCCGUUAGCGAGCAGAUUGUGGGGUUACUCAUCCCAUUGUUUGUUAUGCUUCCUUUCCUCACAGCAUUGGCUUCGUUUCCUACAAAGCUAACUGCUGACAGCUUGCAUUGCUUUAGAACAUCUUCUAAUAGAAUAUAUGAGUCAGAGCUUACUUUCUUGGGGCGCAUUAUUGUUGUUGCCGGGCUGGCUUGUUUCAUUGAGUGCAAAAGAAAAGAAUGGAGUGCUCUCCUAUGAUAUAAGUAAGUAAGUAAGGGCAGUUAUUAGCUGGCAGCUAAUUCCAUUCUAUAGCUUGUGCUCUUGCGUGCUGGAGUGAAAGUGUUCAAUAUUCUAUAGCUUGUGCCGUUGCUUGCUGGAAUUCCAGUGUGAAAGUGCUCAGUAAACCCUAAGACUAACUAGCGCCUUUGUUUGUUCACUUGUUUGUUCACUCACACAUGAUAGAAGGGAUUUACUUAACCUAACUAAAGAAACUCCUAACACUCAACUAAUAACUCAAUUCCAAACUUCCUAACGCGCUCUUAGUAGCUCCCUAAGGCGUAACGGCUUGCUUGUUUCAUGUAAGUGAGACAUCCUCCAUAAAUUAGUAAACAACACUGCUCUGGCUAAAAACUGGAAUCACGAAGAUCAGUACCCUUUCCCGAUGAAUAGAAUUCUCAUUUGGGCCUUUUCCCUUGUGCUAACGUAACGGAGUUGAGCUUAAUCUAGCGUUAGCGAGUUAAGCGCUUACGGAGCUAUUGUUGAGAUGAAAUAAUAGAUGAGCCAUGAGCUCUGUUGAACAUAGGUUCCACGCCCCUUGUAGUUAUUGGCUUUCCCUAGUGGUGCUUGGCUUUCCCUUUAUGUGGUAGGUCAGACCUCUGGAACUAAUUAACACACACACAAACCUCUCCUCUUGUUGGUAACUCCACUGAUUGACUGAUUGCCUUAACUGACUGAUAGCCUUAGACAGUUACUGAUUGCCUUAACUGACUGAUAGCCUUAACAUUGAUUAUGGGCUUCUAAAGCGCUAAGCAUUGAAUACGAGUGUCAUCCCAGUUCUGGCAAACUCCGUUAGCUAGUUCUGCAUCUUGGCUUUUCUUUUGCUUCAAAACAGCACCGCUUGGCUUUUGCUUUAAACCUCCUAAAAUUGAUUGAUACCUUACGAGAGACUUGACUUCUUUCAAGUAGGGUAGCAGCGAUAUACUUGCCUUCUUGUCCUUGCUUGCUUCUUGUUGUUCACUUGUUUACUUGUUAGUUUGUUCCGUUGCUUUCAUCUACUCUACUUCAAUACAAAGCGCUUCAAAAGGCAAUUAUCUAAGUCUGGGGGGCUUGGAACUUCAUCUUUCUCUAAGUGGAACCUAUCCCUCUGUUGAACUCCGCGUUAGCUUAUGGGUGAACAAGCAACGUUAGGAGCAGAGCUUCUAGAUACUUGAUGAAUUCUUCCCUACUGCGCAAAGACUUAAAGAGGUAGUUCUUAUAUGGUAAACACAAGCACCUAAUCAAGUCUAAAGCAAUAUAUAUUGACCUAAAUAAGCAAUAGGGACCUAAAGAAGUUCUUAUAUGCCUUCGCCGUUGCUUCAAAAAGACGAUGUUGCACGCGAGCGAAGAAGAAAGUAGAUAACGCGUGCCGACCACGUGUUAGGUUCAAAUGGACAUCACCGAAAGGAAAGACCAAAAGAGAGAGACCGGGGCAGGUGUGAGGCAGGAAGCUACGAUGCAGUGUUACGAUCUGGUGCGACGGUUUCUUAUAACGCAUUCGAACGAUUGUCACUAAUUUGCAGAGUAUCUAAGGCAACUUACUUGUUCCGCUCCCGCCAUGCUUAUUAUUGCUUGCUGAGAUAUCUAAAUCAUUCCCGCCAAGCUGUACUAAAAUACCCCCCAAUGAAAGUACAAAAAAUCCAGGGUGAUAAAAGCAAGCUAUUCUUCUAGUGAUCCACAUUGAGGAGCCCCUAAAAGAAGAUCUCUACCCAUUAGCAACAGGUAAUCCGCAGGUUACAAAAGGAGAUAGCGAAGGAGCACACUCAUGGAAUAAUAUGGUAAUAAGUAGAGUCAGAGUCAAGAUGGCAAACAAAACAGGUGUCUCGUUUACAGUCAAAUUCUAGUUUCAAUGAAACAUGAGGUGGGUCAUUGGUUCGAGCAAAGUGGACAAAGAUACAUUUCAAUCUUCGGAGCAACCCUAAGAUGCCAAAUAGCCUUCAAACCCAUACCAGGCUCACCAUUCUCAUUAAGAGACUUUGUCAUGAAUCUGUAAGCGCUGUUAACAGAAGUACCGAGGGACUCAGAGUCCAAACCUCAUAUUAAUCCUUGGGGUUGCUUGGUGCGUAACAUUAGUAGUGACUUGGUGACUUCAACUCCAAAGAGAUAAUGUGAUUGGGCACAGCCUUACUCGUGCCUUUCACCAUGUCUUUCCUACCUAUUGGCCUACCGCUUCUUACUUGCUAUUCCGUAUUGCUUUACUUGAAACUAGAACCACUGCUAACAGGGACAAAAGUCACUCCUCAUGUGUAGCGGCAGUCCGGAAACAAGUAAUAUAUUUCUUUCUAGUUAUUAUCGAGUCAUGUAUUUGGUAUUUGCUGGUAGUUAUUCCCGGCCAAGUCCCUUGCUUCCAUUCCCGCUUGUAAACUACCUUAUUGCAUGAAGUAUUGCUCCCUGCCCUGUGACUCCUUGAUCCCGGGCGGACUUUUGACCGUCUAUCGUUCCCACACUGCCUAUUUGCAUCAUGUAUUGAUGCUUUGACUCUUCCACUCAUAGGCCCUAAUACAUAAUUGCCAGAGCAACUACCCGCAUAUAGAAUAGUAGUAAUAAGAAUCAGAAGUCAACUAGUGGGUAAUAAAACCAAUAUUAUUAUGAAGUUCAAAAGCGACUAUACUAUUAUAUAUAAGAAAACUUCUUUAGUGUCUCGAGGUAUCUGGCUUAGACUUCCUUACCUCAUUCCGUAUCUCUGCUUCGACUCUACCACUACUUUAUCCGAUUCUGAAUCUUAAUGUCCUUUAUCUAAUUCUGCUCUCUGCUGUUAAGAGCCCAUUCUUGCUUUCCUGUCAUUCAUUCAAUGUUGAGUUCUUUCCAGUCUGUAUGAAUUCCAUUCUUUCUUUUGUGCAUUUUACUUAUAGUUUGUUUGAUUUUGUUUCUUUUCUUUCAGUUCUUCUUUCUGACCUUACUUCACUAUACGUUCUCUAUUGAUUUGCCUCUGUUCGCUAGCCAACAAACCUACCUCUAUUGAUUGAAACCAUAGUAUGAUGCAUCGCAACACACCCUAUAGUAUGGUACAACAGAGCACAACAAACACUUAGUAUCGCAUAUGGCACCCCGCGUAUGCUAUGAUAUGGUAUCGUAUGACACUAUGUUAUGAUAUGGUAUGGCACUAUGACAUAGAGGGUACUUUGGUCCAGCGCACGUGCAUUGAUGUACCAUUAAUUCCGUCAUUCUUCGGUCAACAUCGUUCAUGCAUCAAAGGUGAAUUGUUUGUACAUGUUGUGGGCGUGUCCUCAUUCUUCAAGUAAACCCACACAGUCUUUAUCUUAAGGGAACCCUAUCAGCCCGACCGUGGACUAAUUCCGUUGGCACUGUUUCUUCAGGCGACACAGCUCCUGCAUCACGACACAAGGUCAUCAACUCCGUCUUUGCUUCGGGCACCAUAGCUCAUGCAUCACAGGUACAUCGGAAAUGAAUGGCCGAUAAGACAUUUCACCUACAAACUGAGCCUACCUUUCCUUACUUGCUUUCUCACCUAUUGGUCCAUAUCCCCCAGCUUGGAAACUUAUACUAGUGCCAGUUAGUCUGCUCCCCGUUGCUUUCGUUCUGUAUUGAACCACUCUAUUCUUAUUACGUUGACUUAUUAUUAAUGAUUCAGUUAACUUCUAUUGAUAUGUAUGAUAGAAGCUAAGAGAUGAUAAAGCCAUCCUUGUUGGACCGAUAGGUAAGCUUUGAAGUAAGUAGCUAAUUUCUUUGACUCCUGUUUCCCUGGCUGCAAAUCCUUUCUCAGGUCCUACCGCUCCUUUCCUUCAAGUAGUAAAUAAAUACUAAUAUGGCAAUGACUUAAGCUCUAAAGAGGUAUGGUACUAAAAAGAACUCAAUUAGGAACUCGGGCUUAACUAACUUAUAUAGGAAUUGGACUGGCAUCGAUCGGACUUGAACUCUGAACUAGGACUUUGAUUACCGAUCUCAAUGCCUAGGUUGUCUCUCCCUGGCUGCUCUCCUAUUCCCUACUCCUAGGUUGAUUCUUCCAAUUGCUUGUUUGACUCCUGUUACUGCUGGUAUUUCGGGUCUCCUGUUUCAAAACUUAGACUCGUUAGCCGCAGGCAAUUAGGGCUUCUUCUUUACUGGAUUGAUUCUAUAUCUCUGGGUUUCUUCUUUGACUUGACUUGCUUUAGUUCCUUUACUUAUACUUUUGGUUUCCUAUUGCUUCUUGUCUUUCGAACAGAGCUCUAAGACUUAUUUAGUAGUACAGUAGUCUGAUCUAAGCCAUUAUCAUACUUUUAAGGUGUGGCGAGCAGCACCAGAACUCAAUCGAGUAUAGUAGUCAAGUCAGAACUCCACUACAGUAUCAAGUUAAUCAAUAGAGGAAAAGAUAGAAUAGGGUCGGAGUGCCAUAGACAACUACGGAUAUUAGAUCAGUAAAGUCAGUCCUGUCAGCACUAGUUCAAUUUGAGAUUCUCUGAUACGCUAUAUAUCUCGUCUAUUACCCAUUGGCUAAAGAAUCAAUUCAUUCUUUUAGGUAAGAUAAGAGAGAAAAUAUUAGAUAUAUUAGAUGUAGAUGCUCUAGAGUGAAUUGGAAUUGCUGGGUUCCUUGGCGCAACAAGAGACUUAGUGUUGCGGGGAGUUGACAUUCCUGCUUCGUUAUACGACGCAUAUUCACAAUUAAGAAGGCUGUUUGACUCGGUGCAAGCAAGAAGACUAAGUAGAAAGGAGAGUAGGUGAUAAUACUUGAAUAAUGCUUCCCUUGGCGCGGAGGCGCGCUGAGACAAUCAAAGCACCCAGCGACAGACUAAUAUCUCUUUCCGGCGGAGCUGCGGCAUACUUGUAGGCUGGGCUAUGUUACUUGGAAGCUGAGUUCACUACCUUGCUGCCCGUACCUUCGUUCUAGAUCGAUGCACAUAACUACUACGACUGGGGAACGAACCCACUAGAACUGUGGACCAGCCCCUUAUUUCUCGUUGCCGUUGCCCGUACCUCGACCAGGCUACGAAGGAAGGCAAACAAUUACCUCUCUCUCAUGCUACGAAGGCAAACAAUGACCUCUAUCCCAUGCGUAGAAGGCAAUUACUUCUCACCCAUGCAACGAUGGCACCCAGGCAAACUCACUCUUUCUUGGAGCCAGCACGCGCAGUCCACGACAGUCUACGAGCUACCAUGGACUAAUUCCUUUAGCGGUGGAUCAUCUCUCAUUCAGAGUUUCAUAGUGGGACCAUCAUCGUUCAUGGAGGAUAUCAUAGUGGGACCGGACCGUCGUUCAUGCAUCGCGAACAGCCUAGGUUAUUAUUGAAGUCAAAGCA